GAUGAACGCUGGCGGCGUGCCUAAUACAUGCAAGUAGAACGCUGAAGGAAGGAGCUUGCUCUUUCCGGAUGAGUUGCGAACGGGUGAGUAACGCGUAGGUAACCUGCCUGGUAGCGGGGGAUAACUAUUGGAAACGAUAGCUAAUACCGCAUAACAGUAGAUGUUGCAUGAUAUCUACUUAAAAGGUGCAAUUGCACCACUACCAGAUGGACCUGCGUUGUAUUAGCUAGUUGGUGAGGUAACGGCUCACCAAGGCGACGAUACAUAGCCGACCUGAGAGGGUGAUCGGCCACACUGGGACUGAGACACGGCCCAGACUCCUACGGGAGGCAGCAGUAGGGAUUCUUCGGCAAUGGACGGAAGUCUGACCGAGCAACGCCGCGUGAGUGAAGAAGGUUGUCGGAUCGUAAAGCUCUGUUGUAAGAGAAGAACGAGUGUGAGAGUGGAAAGUUCACACUGUGACGGUAUCUUACCAGAAAGGGACGGCUAACUACGUG
rnacentral:rRNA from 1 species